rnacentral:lncRNA from 1 species
GGCCCCGACUCCCCUCCGCACGGGAGCUGGAGCCUGGGCCUGCUGCCCACGCCCCGCGGGGUGUCUAGGACUCCUCAGCCUUGGCCGUGUUUAAACUCAGGGUGAGGGUGGAGGGGGGUUGGUCUGUCAGCGUGGGGCAGUUAGGUGUGCUUGAGGUGGCCCUGUAGGGACAGACAGGCCGAGUGACAUGGUGAUUUUUUUUUUUCCCUGGUGGGUGGGGAGCACUUCAAGGAAUAAGUCGUCAGACUGAAACUUAUUAAAACAUCAGAGAUUCGAAUAAUUUUAUAAGUGGUCUUAAAGGGGAAAGAAGAUCCAGCCCACUAGCUUAGAUCAAGAUUUACUUGUGAUCAUCAGUUGGAGAAGACUGGACCAUAUGGAACGACCAAGAGUCAAGCCAACUCUUCAAGUCAACUCGCGAAAUUCUCACCUGCAAUCAGAUACAAUGACAUCGAUGGAGGCAAAAGGCACCAUGCGUUUACCUGCACUCUGUGCGAAUGGAAUUGGAUUGCCGAUGAGGCCAGGCGCAGGGGGGUGUGAAACUAUGUACAAAAUUAAAUGUGAGCGAGAAAUGCUGAUCAAAUCCUUUGGAAAGAGGUGUUUACUGUUCAAGAAAUACUGCGAACGUGGCUGCAAGGAUCAAUGCUGCGCUUACCCAAUAAAAGUGGAAGAGGGAAGAUAAUGGCCUGAAUAGUGACGUGUCUACGGACAUAAAUGUACAAGUGGCUGGCCAGCGGGGGUUUUUGUGGAGGAACCUCAGAGAGAGAGAUGCCGUUCCCCAGGCUGUUUCUAAAUACACGGAGAUUACUUCUCGAAAGAUUUUGAACAGUUCUUUUGUCCAAACCCAAGACCCUAUAAUACAUAAGCUCCCUCAAAUGGGGCAUUCGAAUUUCGCUUACUUAGAGAUGUCUGAAGCUUUCAAGAAUGAGAGAAGUGAGGGUGAAAAGACAUCUUUUUAUGGUCUGUUUUGGGUAGCUGAACAGGUAGGCAGACACGCAAAAGAGAUACUUCUGGAAGCUGCCUUGCUUCAGAAGGUACCUUCUUAUUUGCUAAAAGUUUAUGUUAUUGUCAAUAAACUCAAAAGACAAGCUGUCA